rnacentral:rRNA from 1 species
UACGUAGGGGGCUAGCGUUGUCCGGAAUCAUUGGGCGUAAAGAGCGUGUAGGCGGCCCGGUAAGUCCGCUGUGAAAGUCGGGGGCUCAACCCUCGAAUGCCGGUGGAUACUGUCGGGCUAGAGUGCGGAAGAGGCGAGUGGAAUUCCUGGUGUAGCGGUGAAAUGCGCAGAUAUCAGGAGGAACACCAAUUGCGAAGGCAGCUUGCUGGGACGGUACUGACGCUGAGGCGCGAAAGCGUGGGGAGCAAACAGG